GGCGAACGCUGGCGGCGCGCCUAAAGCAUGUAAGUCGAACGGGGCACCCGCAAGGGUGUCCAGUGGCGGACGGCUGAGUAACACGUGGGUAACCUGCCCCGAAGUGGGGAAUAUCUCGUGGAAACAUGGGUUAAUACCGCAUGUGGUCUGCUCGCGCAGGCGAGUAGACUAAAGGCUUCGGUCGCUUCGGGAGGGGCCCGCGACCCAUCAGCUAGUUGGUGGGGUAACGGCUCACCAAGGCAGUGACGGGUAGCUGGCCUGAGAGGGUGGUCAGCCAGACUGGGACUGAGAUACGGCCCAGACUCCUACGGGUGGCAG
rnacentral:rRNA from 1 species